rnacentral:rRNA from 1 species
GAUGAACGCUGGCGGCGUGCUUAACACAUGCAAGUCGAACGGGAAUUACUUUAUUGAAACUUCGGUCGAUUUAAUUUAAUUCUAGUGGCGGACGGGUGAGUAACGCGUGGGUAACCUGCCUUAUACAGGGGGAUAACAGUCAGAAAUGGCUGCUAAUACCGCAUAAGCGCACAGAGCUGCAUGGCUCAGUGUGAAAAACUCCGGUGGUAUAAGAUGGACCCGCGUUGGAUUAGCUUGUUGGUGAGGUAACGGCCCACCAAGGCGACGAUCCAUAGCCGGCCUGAGAGGGUGAACGGCCACAUUGGGACUGAGACACGGCCCAGACUCCUACGGGAGGCAGCAGUGGGGAAUAUUGCACAAUGGGGGAAACCCUGAUGCAGCGACGCCGCGUGAAGGAAGAAGUAUCUCGGUAUGUAAACUUCUAUCAGCAGGGAA